rnacentral:sRNA from 1 species
UCGGGGCAAACCCCACUGCCCGGGACGA